UCUGAGGUUGGAUUCGAUGAUCUUGAGGUCUCUUCCAACCUAGAAAUUCUGUGAUUCUGUGAUUUUUUCUUUUUCUAAAAAUUCUAGCCAUUUGUAAUCUAGACAGCUGCCACUUUGUGUGCUGAACUCUGAUACCACAUACAAAUACAUUUAAUUACUUCUUUGUAGUCCAAGUCUGUUUGUGUGGUGUGAUCAAUGAAAAAUUUCUGGCUUCCAUGACCCAUAACACAUAUUUUUGUACAUUAGUACUGUAAAACGUUCAUCAAUUAUCAAUAAAGUUGCAGGGACUUUUUUUUUUUUUUUUUUGGACAGGCCUGCCUGAAUGGAUAAAUGAAACAAAACAGAUGCCAGAAGCUAUCCGGAUGGUCACAAUUCCCAGAUCCCUGUCCCUUCGCAGAGGCAUUGCUGAGAAAACCCACAGCACUGUACAAAGGAAACAUACCAUUUCAGAUUUUUGAACUGCCUCGCGUGUAAUUGAUGAUCAGAAACAUCGAUAUGGAGUAUGAAGGAUCAAAUUUUAAAACAACGUUGAAAUAUCUCAUCUGAUUGAAUGAAGCUGGAAAACUGAUGAAACUCCAUGAAAUGGUGUUGGCGUUAUCCCUUAGAACAUAUCUAGUGAAAAAUGCAGUAUGUCACAUGUCUGUGGAAAUCAUGGAUGAGAAGCCAAAACCCUAUCUAUUGGCUGUCUCGUUACAAUCUGAUGGAACACCAGUUUAAAGGAAACACAAGCGAACACUGAAGAAGCCUUUCAUUUCUGCAUUUAGAGGCAUCAGCCAGAGAAGUUUUCUUCUUCCCCCAAAUACUGCUCUUCAGCUGGUAUAUACAAUAUGAUAAUAUUAUGAAAUUUUAUCAUGUCCAUUAUGGUCUCUCAAUAGUGUUUGUAUUAUAUUUAGUGAGCCCUAGAGAGGUUUGAAUUUGUUUCUGAUUAAUUCAGCAGCAAUGUUAGAUAUAUAUCUUAAUUUAAGUAUAAUUUAGAUUUUCAUUGACAGUUAUUUCUAUACAGUUGAUAGAAUCCAGAUGUGCAAAUGUUUAAAUGAUAUAGCCUUCAACGAGACAGUGCAGUAACCCCAUGAGAGAACUGAAUGUUAUAACAGGGGAUCCUUCUAGUUCAUAUGUAUCUUGUCUGCCCUGACACUCCUUUUAGUCUUACUUGCCAGAGUUAGGUAACGUUGACAAUAGGUAAUAGUGCUGAUUUACUGAUCCAGUAAACCUUAGAUGAAAAACAAACAAAUAAACAAAAACAGACAAACA
rnacentral:lncRNA from 1 species